UUUAAAUGAGUAAAUGGUAAUUAGAGAGAGAUCAUUGGUCUUAUUCUCUAUUAAUCUAAGAAUGAUUAUUAGAAGAAUUAGUGGAGUGGUUAGAAACAAAGAGGAUUGGUUAGAAUGGAACUAAGUGGCAAAGUGGUAGUUUUGGCUUAGUUGAGGGGCACAAGAGACAUUUAACUCUAUUGCAUGGACUUAAGGACUUGUUUGGCUUGCAAAUCAGAAUUUUUGAAGAAGAGGGAGCAUAGGAACAUGGAAAGAAAGAAGUUCAUCAUCUUCAUAUCUCCAUUUUCGCAACCCUUGAUACAGCCUUCACUAAAUCAGGUAUAUCUCUCAACUCGUAACUCCGAUCGUAACGAUUCUGGUCCCAUUGGAUAGCUAACGAAUUUCUCUUCGAUUUGCACCUAUGGUUCGCGUUCAUAGCUUCUGUUUCGAAGGAGAAAACUGACCUUGAAGUUGUGUCAGUGAUGCUGAAAGUGGGUACAAGUGUGAUUACGGAUUUGAUGAAGAUGGAGUGAAACUUUGGCUAUGGUGGGAGUCCAAUGGCAGCAAACAUCAUCUUUCUAAACCUCCAUUUUAGCAAGGUGCAGUUUAGUAGCUUUUGACAGAUAGCAGGUUCGGAUUGACGGCUUAAAGUGGUGACGGCUCGGAGACCUCGUCAGAUCUCAUUUUCCGCUGUGCAGAUCCAUUGAAGACACAUGUGUUGUAAUUCUUAGUAGAAUUUCAUGUUGUAUUUUAUAUGGAUCUUCCUAUAACUAUAACUUUUGUAUGUACUCAAUAUCAAUUUUAACGUUUCGUGCAUAAUAUACUAGUCAGUUAUGUAUGGGAUGUUACAGUUGGUAUCAGAGCAGGUCGAUUCUCGGCCGAGCCAUGAGACAUCACUAGCAAUUCCUUUUCCUCCUCUCAAGUGUGCGUUGCUAGCCUGAUUUUACUGAUAUCUCAUUCAGUUGUUGAACUUGAUCAACUCAUCGACUGAGUGUGAGACAGUAGGAUUACGGCAGAGCCGCCACGAGGACUCGUAAGCCUGUAAGGUUGUGAACCUAAGUUGUUGGAGUGGGAUGAGUAAUGAAUUGUUGGACGUUUUAAGUGGAUGAUAUUGGAGUCGUCAAGCUUAAGGAGAGCGUUCGACACAAAGUAGUAAUACCCAAACUGUCAAGGUGUGGAUGGAGACAGCUUGAACCCCCAGGAUUUUGAUUGGACGAAGUGAAGAUUUCUCUAAGUCUUGGUAAUAGCAAGGGAAAUCCAAAUAGGAAUGAGUAGGAGCCUUAUAAGUGGGAUUCUCCGAAGGUGUUGAGCUGAGAAUUAGUAAGAUUCAGUACUGAUGAUGCUGCUGGUGUUGAGUGCGACUGAUGAGCUGAUAGGACAGAAUAACCCUUGGAAAUGCGAAUAGAGGAGUCAGACCUUUCUGUUUGUGCUAGUACGGACAGUAAUUGGAUGGAUGAGGUAAUAGAUCCUGAUCCAACUUGAAGUAUCCUAAUUGAGAGUAGUUACCUAGUAGAUGUUGGUGGGAUGUACGAGCGUGGUAGCUUACGAUUGGGUGAGGCUUGAAUACCCGGUCGAUAGAAGAAGAUGUGUAUUUCUGUUCUUAUCAUUUUAUAUUUAGUUCUAGAACUACGCUAGAUGGAAUAUGAAAUGAUGUAGAAGCGUGAAAUGCAGUAUUCAAGUUCUCUUAGUUGUUGUUCGUCUGACCCCGAGUGAAGCCAUAGAACUACGCUUGGCGUUGGGCGUACAGGCGAGUAAGAACUAAGAUCUAUCCGGACUGAAUUAUCCUUGGAAUCUCAUGCAUGCGUGGGGCGAGUGGGUACGCGCACUGCAUGGCAAUCCGAAGUUGAACUUCAAAUCUUCGUGCUUGGCGUUUUGGCUUUCCGAGUAAGUAAACCUUAGUGUGUAGCACUCUCAGGUUUUAGCAUCCUGAGGAGUAUGAUUCGAAGGAUUUGAGAAAAGAUGAACCUAUUGGAGGCUGUUCAGACACUUGUCGGUUGUGACUUUAGGAUACGCGUGGAGAUCAUUAUACGCCACUGAGGUAGGUUACCUGGAUACAUGGCCUCGGAGUUGGACCACCAUAUUGGUACUACUAGACGGGUAUAAUGCCACAGUAUCGCUAUCGUGCACGAGAUGCGUGAGUCAUCCUUUUUCCUACAUGUGUGGGACGAAGGUGAUCUGAAGCAAGAUGGAAUUCUGAUUUGGCACUCGUGAGACACAGAUCCAGACUCUCAUAAGGUAUGUGGGAUAAGGAUCCAUACAUCGCGCUCGAUAGUAGAGGAAUAACUAGACAGGCGAUGAUGUGAUGGAUCAAGAUCCAAUACUAUACUUAUGGAGACCCUGAGUGAUCGUGAUUGCGUGAGUUAGUAUCAGAUUGUACCUUGGAGACGUUCUCGUUUCAUGAAGUGUUAGGUUGGCAAUUUUGCAUGAGUGUCUAGAGUGAGACUCAUGUGCGGUCAUGAUAUCCUGGUCAGCAUAGUGAGUUGAUAUCAUGUACCAAUGGCGACCGGUGAUGGAAUAUGCAAGUUGUAUCUUGGAUCGGAUCGAUGUGUGAUGUGUCCGGUAAGGUAUUGCCAGAUACUCUGAGUAAAGAAAUGUGAAUCUUGGUAAAGCAUGGACAUUUUGGUUUAGGAACUGCUAAGGAGUUUAUAAAGAGAUGUUCGAAGUGCAAAGUGCAAAGUGCAAAGUGCAAUUUCUUGCAUUGUGGCUACACUCAGACCGUUGGAAGCACUGCAAUGAAGGAUGCAGCCGCUGAGGAAGUCAGUUCAGUGUCUGAUUCAGAGGUGGAACAUACGUUAGAUGACUGUGUGAAUAGAGUGUGGCUAUGGGAGGAUCGUUAUAUCAGUAAGUCACACGAGUUAUCAGAGGUGAUACUACGCUAAGAGAAUGAAGGUGUAUGGUUGGGUAGAAGUUGUGUAAAACUGCUAGAGUUAUCAUGAACUGCAGAAUGUCGUGAAGUAUUCGAUAUACCGGUUGAGCAACAAAGAUUUGUUGGAAUGAAAAACAUAGCAGAUGUACACUGUGGAAAUCAGUGACAAGGACGAACCUCUAAGUCAGUGAGUGUUUGGGUUUCAAUGUCCUGAGGAUGAAACGUGUACCUAAAUUGUGGUAGAUGAACUAUAUGGAAUGGCAGAGUAAGUAGAAGCUUGAUUCUGGAGAGUACGGAACUUCGAAGAGUAGUAGUCGACGAUGGAUGUAUAUGGAGUUCUAGGACGUGUUGUAAUUGGACAACUGUGGAUAAGGAAUUAUUGUGUGUUAAUGGGAACUAAGUGAGUUAUGGAUAUAAUGUGACUCAGAGGAUUUCAAGGUGGGUGACUUGUUGGGAUCAGAGUAGUGCAACGGAUCAAGGAAGAAUCAGAUAAGUCUGAGGUAGGAACGAACGGACUGUUUUUGGGACUUUACGUUGGGAUGAAAGUAUCUUCCUAAGGGAAACUGUCAAAGCAGCGUUUCGUUCAUUCUAGUCUCUCAAGGAUCACCAUAACUCGAGAGGUGUUGUCAAUGGACCAGCUUGGGAAUACAUUUUUGUGGAUGGCAUGCGGUUCGAUGUUCGUUGGUCAUCAGUUUAGCUUGCAAGUCACAAGGGUUGGACUGAGUAUCAAACUGUCGAAAUGCUGAAGGCUAGAGAGGACAUUCAGUUGGCGCAAGUUCUUCGUGGUUAUGUCUUGUGCACUGUGAGAGUGCAUGAAGAGAUGGACAAUGGUCGCGGGUUAAUCGAUGGAGUCCACCUUUGUGGGCAAAGCCUUAUGCAAAGUUGUUGGACAUCAAUGCUAUGGUUGUGGAAGGCUACACCAUCGUGGAUUGCGGUAACGACUGAUACAUCUUGGACCGAGGUGAGAAUCAAGUAAGGAGAUUCAGUUGUAUAAGUAAAGGUAAAUUUGGGACAAUCAUCCUAAGACUUUGGGAACCAGGGGUUAAGACCGAGGAAUUUGGAGAUCACCUAAUGACAUUGUAUGGACUCGAGUGGAGAAUAAUUUGAAGUGUUGUCGCAGAAGUGACGUUGUGGCAGUAAGUUCUCGAACGGGAAGUAAUUCAAGGAGCUGAGUGAAUCAGUGAUGUUUGUUGAACGAGGGUGAACACACCAGAUAACGAAACGAAGGAUAUCCGACAUGAGUGGAUUAUUAGAGUUUUUGAAUUUCUGGGGAUUCAGUGCAGAGCAGGGAAGGUCAAGGACCCUGGAAGGAUAUUUCCCCAGGUAUGUCAAGACGAAGUAUCAGAUUCGACAUAUUGCUUGAGAGUUAAGGUUUCUAAUCAUGUGUAGUGGGAUGCAAGCGUUUUGGCAGAUUAUGUUUCUUCGUAUGGAAUGGUCCUCAGACAGAGUAGUGAGAUUAUCUAAAGACGAAUGUGAGUAACAUUCUUUCCCUUGAUUGGAUAGAUAAGAAGGGUUGGUCUCCGUGGUAACCGGAAGGAAUUCGAGGACGAAUUCUAAUUAAGGGGGGGAGAAUGUAAUAUCCUGAUCUUUUGACACCGAUAAUUAUCAUUUAAAUGAGUAAAUGGUAAUUAGAGAGAGAUCAUUGGUCUUAUUCUCUAUUAAUCUAAGAAUGAUUAUUAGAAGAAUUAGUGGAGUGGUUAGAAACAAAGAGGAUUUGUUAGAAUGGAACUAAGUGGCAAAGUGGUAGUUUUGGCUUAGUUGAGGGGCACAAGAGACAUUUAACUCUAUUGCAUGGACUUAAGGACUUGUUUGGCUUGCAAAUCAGAAUUUUUGAAGAAGAGGGAGCAUAGGAACAUGGAAAGAAAGAAGUUCAUCAUCUUCAUAUCUCCAUUUUCGCAACCCUUGAUACAGCCUUCACUAAAUCAGGUAUAUCUCUCAACUCGUAACUCCGAUCGUAACGAUUCUGGUCCCAUUGGAUAGCUAACGAAUUUCUCUUCGAUUUGCACCUAUGGUUCGCGUUCAUAGCUUCUGUUUCGAAGGAGAAAACUGACCUUGAAGUUGUGUCAGUGAUGCUGAAAGUGGGUACAAGUGUGAUUACGGAUUUGAUGAAGAUGGAGUGAAACUUUGGCUAUGGUGGGAGUCCAAUGGCAGCAAACAUCAUCUUUCUAAACCUCCAUUUUAGCAAGGUGCAGUUUAGUAGCUUUUGACAGAUAGCAGGUUCGGAUUGACGGCUUAAAGUGGUGACGGCUCGGAGACCUCGUCAGAUCUCAUUUUCCGCUGUGCAGAUCCAUUGAAGACACAUGUGUUGUAAUUCUUAGUAGAAUUUCAUGUUGUAUUUUAUAUGGAUCUUCCUAUAACUAUAACUUUUGUAUGUACUCAAUAUCAAUUUUAACGUU